rnacentral:rRNA from 1 species
UACGUAGGGACCGAGCGUUGUUCGGAAUCACUGGGCGUAAAGGGUGCGUAGGCCGCACGGUAAGUCAGAGGUGAAAUCCCGGAGCUCAACUUCGGAAUUGCCUCCGAUACUGCCGUGCUUGAGGACUGGAGAGGAGAUUGGAAUUCACAGUGGAGCAGUGAAAUGCGUAGAUAUUGUGAGGAACACUAGUGGCGGAGGCGAAUCUCUGGACAGUUCCUGACGCUGAGGCACGAAGGCCAGGGGAGCAAACGGG